rnacentral:ncRNA from 1 species
CAAGGAUAAAAACGCAACGCACAUUUUAAAUAUUAUUAUGCGCCAGAGCCGGUAGGUAGCCCGGCCGUCCCGCCUGUUGCGGCGGGGUAAGUAACCUGCCCCUCCGGGUUGUCCGUUCUUUGCUCAUA